GACGCUGGCGGUAGGCUUAACACAUGCAAGUCGUGCGAGAAAGUACCUUCGGGUGCGAGUAGAGCGGCGGACGGGUGAGUAACGCGUAGGAAUCUACCUAGUAGAAGGGGAUAGCCCGGGGAAACUCGGAUUAAUACCGUAUACCUCCUUAGGGAGAAAGAGGGCUUAGCUUUGAUGCUCUCGCUAUUAGAUGAGCCUGCGUAAGAUUAGCUUGUUGGUGAGGUAAUGGCUCACCAAGGCAACGAUCUUUAGCUGGUCUGAGAGGACGAUCAGCCACAUUGGGACUGAGACACGGCCCAGACUCCUACGGGAGGCAGCAGUGGGGAAUAUUGGACAAUGGGCGCAAGCCUGAUCCAGCCAUACCGCGUGUGUGAAGAAGGCUUUCGGGUUGUAAAGCACUUUAAGUAAGGAGGAAAAGAUUGUAGUUAAUACCUGCAAUCCGUGACGUUACUUACAGAAUAAGGACCGGCUAAUUCCGUGCCAGCAGCCGCGGUAAUACGGAAGGUCCAAGCGUUAAUCGGAAUUACUGGGCGUAAAGCGCGCGUAGGUGGUUUUUUAAGUUGGAUGUGAAAGCCCUGGGCUCAACCUAGGAACUGCAUCCAAAACUAGAUGACUAGAGUACGAAAGAGGGAAGUAGAAUUCACAGUGUAGCGGUGGAAUGCGUAGAUAUUGUGAAGAAUACCAAUGGCGAAGGCAGCUUCCUGGUUCUGUACUGACACUGAGGUGCGAAAGCGUGGGUAGCGAACAGGAUUAGAUACCCUGGUAGUCCACGCCGUAAACGAUGACAACUAGCUGUUGGGAGACAAGAUCUCUCAGUGGCGCAGCUAACGCUUUAAGUUGUCCGCC
rnacentral:rRNA from 1 species